rfam:Nematostella vectensis strain CH2 x CH6 NEMVEscaffold_124_Cont14263, whole genome shotgun sequence.
GUCGGUUACGGUGACAUGACGCCGCAAACAUGGCCUGGUAAGAUCAUCGGUGGCGCAUGCGCGAUAUGCGGCGUCCUCAUCGUGGCCCUGCCUAUUUCGGUCAUAGGCAGCAAC